UUCAGGGAGGAGACCGUUGAUCUGGAUCGGAGCUGUGCAUCGUUGAACUGAAGUCUGACAAAUAACCAGGGACUGAUGUUGCUGAGGGGCUAGAACUCCGUGCUACAAAUCUUUUGAUAUCAAGACGCACUUGGAAGAUGCAUGGGCGCGCGCGCGCAUGCGCGAGGACAUGCACGCGGCUCAAGUCUUCAUGUGUGAAUGCGUGUACCUGCUGGUGAGCCCGUGAGGUGUGGAGGAAGCAGGAGGCUUGGGGCGUGAGCUGGGCACCUGGACAAGCCCUCAGACGAAGCAAAGAGGCUUGGAAAAGCACAGUUCCAGCUCCCUUUGAGGUCAUUCAUCCAGUGGAUUUGAACUUGGUCUCGGAGAUCCUUGGAAUCUGCAGAGGUCCUUCCAGAGAUGCCAAGGAAGCAGGAGAAGGUGAAACGGAGCAACUCGAUUUCCUUCCUUUCCCCACCGCCAAGCAGGAAAGUCUGCUUUUAACCGCUUCAUCUGUGUUGGGCAAAUUGCGGCUCUCGUGGUUCAUGGUCCUCACCUGUAACCUGGGCGCAGCGUGGCCCAGGGCACUGUGCAUCAAUGCGUGGAAGGUUCAGGAGGGUAGCUGGAACAGUAAGAGCCCAAUGAAUAUUAACGAUUAUCUGUCAUACGAAUAAGAUUUCAUUUGCAACGUGGCUCGACUGCUAAUGAAAUUCUGAAAGCUACCAUCCAGUGCAACACCCUCAUUUUCAGACAUUGUAACCCAUCAAAUGUGAGCAGUUACCCAGGUCUGUACUACUGCUUAGUGAGGGACAAAAAUGGGCCUCGUAGUAGGAUCUCCUGGCUCCAAGGCAGGUCCUCUUCGUGCUGCCCAGGACGGCUGUCCUUGGGGAAUGGACCCGAAGGCAUUUGCAGCUGCAGAGGGAAUCUCUCUCCAGCCCCAGUAUCCCUGAAGGAAGGGAGAGUGUCUGGUCACUGCAGGCUCUCGAGGUCCAGCUUGGCUCCAGCACAUCUGUUGAAUGGAUGACAAAGGCUCUGACCAAGGUCACACGGCUGGGUGGAGGCUGUGCUGGGAUAGAACUCAGGUCUCCCGGGACGAGUGACCGACCGGAAU